UACAGAGGUCUCAAGCGUUGUUCGGAUUCAUUGGGCGUAAAGGGUGCGUAGGUGGCGUCGUAAGUCAGGUGUGAAAUCUCGGGGCUUAACUCCGAAACUGCAUUUGAUACUGCCGUGCUUGAGGACUGGAGAGGAGACUGGAAUUUACGGUGUAGCAGUGAAAUGCGUAGAGAUCGUAAGGAAGACCAGUGGCGAAGGCGGGUCUCUGGACAGUUCCUGACACUGAGGCACGAAGGCCAGGGGAGCAAACGGG
rnacentral:rRNA from 1 species